rnacentral:rRNA from 1 species
GACGAACGCUGGCGGCGUGCUUAACACAUGCAAGUCGAACGGAAAGGCCCUGCUUUUGUGGGGUGCUCGAGUGGCGAACGGGUGAGUAACACGUGAGUAACCUGCCCUUGACUUUGGGAUAACUUCAGGAAACUGGGGCUAAUACCGGAUAGGAGCUCCUGCUGCAUGGUGGGGGUUGGAAAGUUUCGGCGGUUGGGGAUGGACUCGCGGCUUAUCAGCUUGUUGGUGGGGUAGUGGCUUACCAAGGCUUUGACGGGUAGCCGGCCUGAGAGGGUGACCGGCCACAUUGGGACUGAGAGACGGCCCAGACGCCUACGGGAGGCAGCAGUGGGGAAUAUGGCACAAUGGGCGGAAGCCUGGUGCAGCAACGCCGCGUGCGGGAUGACGGCCUUCGGGUUGUAAACCGCUGUCGCCUGUGACGAAGCGUGAGUGACGGUAAUGGGUAAAGAAGCACCGGCUAACUACGUG